GGUGCAAAGUCCCCAUUCUUUUCCUUUUCCGCCUUCUUCUUCUUCUUCUUCACCCUCCAUUCCGUCUCCUUCUCCCUCUUUCUUGGGCAGAAAGUGGGGUCCCUCUCUCCUUUUCCCCUUCCUCCCCAUUGAUCUCCCCACAACUCCACAUCUGGGCAAGGCAUGGCCUUUGCAGCUGCAGCCCAAGGUCCAAGGGAGGCUGGAAGUCUGGGAGGGCUCAACUUUGCAAAGCCAAAGCCUGAGAGAAAGACAGACCAAGAAGAUUGAAGGCAGGGACUGAGGAAGGAAGGGAGAGGAAAAGUCACCAGCUGGGAUUUAUGAAUACCAAAGAGUGAGAGAGGGAAAGACAGACCAAGAAGAUAGAAAGCAAGGACUGGCAUAAUAAAAUGGUGUCCCUUACAUCGAAUGACAAAAUCAGUGUUUGCUUUUUGGAAUGUGUAAAUGUGUAUGCGUGCAUGCCCGUGCGCUUGUAUACAGUGGUCCCUCCACAUUCUCUGGGGUUAAGGGUGAAGGACUCCCAUGAAUAUGGAAAAAACACAAAUAAAAGAAAUCCUAUUAUUUUUACCUAAGAGAACACCUCUCUAGGGAUCUCCAGUGCCACUCUAUGGUCAACAUCUGCCAGAAGUUCACCAUAGAAUCAUGCUGGAGGACCUAUAAAUGCCUAAAGAAUUGUUUUCUCUAAGACCUUCCAGAUUCUCCAACAUAAUUGUAUGCUCAACUUCUGGCAGAGUUGCGUUGGAGGACCUAGAGAUUCCUAGAGAAAACAUAUUAAUCAAUGCUGCAAAUAAUCAAAUCUGCAAAA